UUCUGGUUUCAAUGAUGUUUCUAGAGACAAUAUCUCUCUCAUAAUCACUAAAUGCCUAGGUUUACCUCCUCUGUACUCACAUCCCACAUACCUUUGUCUGUACAUUAUACCUUGAAGCUAUUUUAUCGGCCCCAGAAACCUGCUCCUUUUUCUCUCUAUUCUGGACGUCACAGACGACCAAUUCUUAUAGCUUUUAGCCGUACCCUCAUACUUAUUCUUCUCUGCUCCUCUGGGGAUGUAGAGGUGAAUCCAGGCCCUGCGGUGCCUGGCUCCACUCCUACUCCCCAGGCGCUCUCUUUUGAUGACUUCUGUAACCGUAAUAACCUUGGUUUCAUGCAUGUUAACAUUAGAAGCCUCCUCCCUAAGUUUGUUUUAUUCACUGCUUUAGCACACUCUGCCAACCCGGAUGUCCUAGCUGUGUCUGAAUCUUGGCUUAGGAAGUCCACCAAAAACUCUGAAAUCUUCAUCCCUAACUACAACGUUUUCAGACAAGAUAGAACAACCAAAGGGGGCGUUGUUGCAAUCUACUGCAGAGAUAGCCUGCAGAGUUCUGUCCUGCUAUCCAGGUCUGUACCCAAACAAUUUGAACUUCUACUUUUAAAAAUCCACCUCUCCAAAAACAAGUCUCUCACCGUUGCCGUCUGCUAUAGACCCCCCUCGGCCCCUAGCUGUGCUCUGGACACCAUAUGUGAACUGAUUGCCCCCCAUCUAUCUUCAGAGCUCGUGCUACUAGGUGACCUAAACUGGGACAUGCUUAACACCCCAGCCAUCCUACAAUCCAAGCUUGAUGCCCUCAAUCUCACACAAAUUAUUAAUGAACCCACCAGGUACAACCCCAAAGCCGCAAACACUGGCACCCUCAUAGAUAUCAUCCUAACCUACGUGCCCAUUGCCUGCACCCGUAAUGGGUCAGCGGUCAAACGACCUCCACUCAUCACUGUCAAACGCUCCCUGAAACAUUUCAACGAGCAAGCCUUUCUAAUCGACCUGGCCCUGGUAUCCUGGAAGGAUAUUGACCUCAUCCCAUCAGUAGAGGAUGCCUGGUUAUUUUAAAAAAAUGCUUUCCUCACCAUCUUAAAUAAGCAUGCCCCUUUCAAGAAAUUUAGAACCAGGAACAGAUAUAGCCCUUGGUUCUCCCCAGACCUGACUGCCCUUAACCAACACAAAAAUAUCCUGUGGCGUUCUGCAUUAGCAUCGAACUGCCCCCGCGAUAUGCAACUUUUCAGGGAAGUUAGAAACCAAUACACACAGGCAGUUAGAAAUGCCAAGGCUAGCUUUUUCAAACAGAAAUUUGCUUCCUGCAACUCAAACUCUAAAAAGUUCUGGGACAUUGUAAAGUCCAUGGAGAAUAAGAAC
rnacentral:lncRNA from 1 species